rnacentral:rRNA from 1 species
UACGAAGGGUGCAAGCGUUAAUCGGAAUUACUGGGCGUAAAGCGCACGUAGGCGGAUCGAUCAGUCAGGGGUGAAAUCCCAGGGCUCAACCCUGGAACUGCCUUUGAUACUGUCGAUCUGGAGUAUGGAAGAGGUGAGUGGAAUUCCGAGUGUAGAGGUGAAAUUCGUAGAUAUUCGGAGGAACACCAGUGGCGAAGGCGGCUCACUGGUCCAUUACUGACGCUGAGGUGCGAAAGCGUGGGGAGCAAACAGG